rnacentral:rRNA from 1 species
GACGAACGCUGGCGGCGUGCUUAACACAUGCAAGUCGAGCGGUAAGGCCCUUUCGGGGGUACGACGAGCGGCGAACGGGUGAGUAACACGUGGGUGACCUGCCCUCCAGCUCUGGGAGUAAGCCUGGGAAACCGGGUCGUAAUACCGGAUAUGACUCCAUGACGCAUGUUGUGGGGUGGAAAGCCUUGUGCGGCUGAGGAUGGGCCCGCGGCCUAUCAGCUUGUUGGUGGGGU